AGAGAAAAAAGGGGGAGGAUCCCGGUGCAAGUAGCUCGUGUGCCGCCGACACGCCAUUGGCGAGCGCCCGCCACACGGCGCGAAUCGUGUCUGCGCGUUGCGUCAGGGUGGAGCACCUGUCGGCGACAAAAGGGGCGACACCUCUGGGAGGCGGUCUCUAGCAAUCCCCACGGGCAAGGGUAUGCGACGAAGCGACGAGCGCGUCAACAGCCGGCAGCGGCGAGAGCGCGAAAGCACAGACAAGCAAAGCAAAGUGAGCUUUGUGUUCUUCGAAAAAAAAAAAAAAAAAAAAAACGUCGACGCACUUGACAGGCACGAAAACAAGGCCACUGGCCGGAGGCUUCUUCCGCGCGCAUAUGCCAGUGUCUUUCCCGUGGCUGCCCUUUCGCGGCAGUUGCCAUGCGGCUCUUGUAGCACUUGCCCACCGCCGCGAAAAAAAGUGCGAUGCCGCUUGUGUCGAGCAACAAGGGUCAAGCAUUCUUUGCUUUCGAUAUCCAGGGGGAGGAUGCGUCAUGACGUCAUAAUAGAUUGACUCCCUCCGUUCCUGCGAUUAGCAGCGGCUGCCGCACCCGAGCUCAGGCAGAAGACAGGCCUUCUUCGGACCCAUGCAGGAGUGGACACAAGCGAAAAAGAGAAGAGAGAAACGAAACAUCACGCAAAAAAUAAAUGGUUAUGCACAAACGAGAUCAAUUAAGAUAUGAUAAAAAUGUAGUCAUAAUAUCUUACAAAAUACAAAAAAUUAUCGCGAAGUAGCAAA